rnacentral:lncRNA from 1 species
GGUUUCAGGUUACAGAGCUCGGAAAAUAAAAAACACACAGCAUAAAAUAGGAAGAGAACAAAGCAGAGACUUAACUCGUCUCGCAUAUAUUCUGUACAACAUUAGAUCAUUCAAGAACAUAUCCUACCUUUGCAUGAUCUAACCACGCUCAACUCAGACAACUGAGAGAGAACACAGGAGAGACUUAACUCGACUCACAUGAGCUCUGUACAGGUUCAGAUCACUCAAAGUAGCUCUCAUUCUAGAACAUGUAAUAACUGUGCGUGAUCUAACCAUGCUUAAAGUGCUCCUAACACAAAAAUGGAUUUUAGACAUUUAGAUUCUCAUUGGCAGUAUAUAUGAUAUUCGAAAACCGAAUCGCAAUAGCGAUUUUAGUUUAGAAGUUAUUCCCGUUUAAACAUGGUAUUUGCGAUGUAAUAAAAUAAAAACCGCGCAAAAGGGAUUGGUGCGAAAUCGAUGUUGUGAUGUCACAAUAGGAACCGGUCUAGGUCAUUCAUGCGAAAAACAUUAUAACGUGUAUUAUUCACUGAAGGCGACAGCGCAAAAAAUGCACGCAAAUUGAAAAUAUGCCGAGUAUAUGUAUUGUAGGUGGUUGCUCUAAUGUAUCCAAUGCGGGAAAAGGAAUCUCGCUGCAUUUUAUACCGUUUUCUGGCGACGAAAGGCCAGAAACUAAAAAGAGACGCAAGCAAAAGAUAGACCUCGUGCGCUUGAAACGAGCCAAAUGGGAUCCAACUCCCAGUUUAAGUAUUUGUUCGGUUCACUUUGCCAAGGAAGAUUUUACGGAAAUUUUUUCUAGUAUCUUCGGCAAAGUACCAAGGUUAGCCACCGUUGAAAUUGGGAUAGUUGCAAUUCCAAAGUUGCGUCGCCGGAAUGCAAACCUACUUCUGCGAGGGACAAAAGAAUGGUGUUACUCGUGCAAUCUUCCAGUCAUCUACAAAGAUUCCUGUUUUGAUUAAAAGAUUGAAAAUAUAGGUCAAAGAUGGAGCUAUGAUUGUCGAGGCAAUCUUUAGUGAUGCUUCGAGGCAAUAAAAACAGUGUUUCGACAGAGACAGGUGGUUGCGUUGGACGUGCUUACUUGCUAAAGGAAAAGAGGAAAACGUGGAACAAAUAUGUCACGCUUAAAGCCAGAAAUAUGAUGAAAUGGCUAAAGCGAAACGUUCCAAAGGUGUGCAGUGUAAGAUUAUAAGCGAAGCAGAGUGUGGUCGUAAGGAUGCUGAAAUGCUACCAUGUGGCAUUCCAACCGGUACUGACACGAAAUCCACUGCUGAAUGCACAGAUGAUGAAAUGGAUAGCAUUUCGAGUACAGGAGAAUUCCAUUCGGAAGAAGGACUUUCACUAGUCCUGGAAGAAGAUAUUUUAGUGUCCGGAGGAUCUCCCACCAAGGUCAUCAAUAUGUUUAUGGAAUCUUCUUUGGUUAUUUCUGGUGAUGAAAGACAUGACAGCAUAGGCCAUUGUGCAAAAUAUUGUAGUUACACAAUUUUUUCAUGGCACCUCAAAUGAAAUAAUUGAUUUUAGUUUGAUACAGCGAAAUGAAGUAGGAAGCAGCUGCCAUGGAAUUUGAAGGAUUCCAGAGUUGUAUGAAUUUUCUCCUGGGCGAAGAGUUGCACGAGGUUUUUACUAAGUUGGCAAAGGAAACAGAUGGAGAGGAAUUAAUCAUCUCUAUUGGUGUGCCACCUCCACACAUUCUGGAAAUGGUAGAAUCAUGUUUGCAAAAUUCAAAUCAUUCCUGAGUUAUAUAGUUGACAAGCAUGAUGGAUUGGAUGAUCCACUAUAUAACAGUGUGCUCAUGGUGAACUGACACCAAGAAAGUGGAUGCUACCUGACUCUCCAGCAUACAACAAGCUAAGUGGUGCAGUGCUGAAAACUUCAUUUGUGAACGGAAUUAAACAAGCCUCACCAUUGAACCAAACAAGUUGUUUAGAGGGUUUGCAGGUAUGUUUCACUAAAUGGUCUAUAAUCAGUAAUAGUGAGUGUUG